CUCGNAGAAUGAACUAGCUAACUGAAAUCAUCCCACAUCUGAAAUAUUGUUCAAGGGUGAUAACGCGAGGGAAGAAAUAAUGAUGCCUCCUCGCUAUUAGUGUUGUCCAAAGUCUGGUGCCAGAAGACUCGGUAAGGCCAGGUACACAAACGUUAAUCACAUUAAUCAGGCGUAAAGGGUUUGUAGGCAGCUUCAAAUACACUAUUCUGUAUAUAGCAAAAUACAAAAAAAAAUUCAACUCUUUAGUAUUUUGUUUUUUUUCCUUAAUYCCAAAUUCCCUGUUAUUUAAAUAAAUAUAUGUUAAUAAACUUUUGUAAAAAAACUAAAACUAUAAAAAAAAUACAGAGGUAAGAACCUAAUAUUUUUUAUAUUUUUUAAAAANCAUUUUUUAAUGCCCCUAAAAAAAANAAAAAAGAAUUUUUC
rnacentral:rRNA from 1 species